rnacentral:rRNA from 1 species
GUGCCAGCAGCCGCGGUAAUACGUAGGGUGCGAGCGUUGUCCGGAAUUACUGGGCGUAAAGGGCUCGUAGUGGUUUGUCGCGUCGUCUGUGAAAUUCCGGGGCUUAACUCCGGGCGUGCAGGCGAUACGGGCAUAACUUGAGUACUGUAGGGGUAACUGGAAUUCCUGGUGUAGCGGUGAAAUGCGCAGAUAUCAGGAGGAACACCGAUGGCGAAGGCAGGUUACUGGGCAGUUACUGACGCUGAGGAGCGAAAGCAUGGGUAGCGAACAGGAUUAGAUACCCUGGUAGUCAAGGGCG